AUCCAACUGACGAGUCCCAAAUAGGACGAAACGCGCGUCCUGGAU
rfam:Schistosoma mansoni, Puerto Rico, WGS project CABG01000000 data, contig: 0071